rnacentral:rRNA from 1 species
UGGAUCCUCGAAUUGAAAGAGAGAUUGAGAGGGAUCAAGAAUCCUAAUUCUCGCUAUUUGGAAUGGAUCCAAUUCUAUUGA